AGCGUACACGGUGGAUGCCCUGGCAGUCAGAGGCGAUGAAGGACGUGCUAAUCUGCGAUAAGCGUCGGUAAGGUGAUAUGAACCGUUAUAACCGGCGAUUUCCGAAUGGGGAAACCCAGUGUGUUUCGACACACUAUCAUUAACUGAAUCCAUAGGUUAAUGAGGCGAACCGGGGGAACUGAAACAUCUAAGUACCCCGAGGAAAAGAAAUCAACCGAGAUUCCCCCAGUAGCGGCGAGCGAACGGGGAGCAGCCCAGAGCCUGAAUCAGUGUGUGUGUUAGUGGAAGCGUCUGGAAAGGCGCGCGAUACAGGGUGACAGCCCCGUACACAAAAAUGCACAUGCUGUGAGCUCGAUGAGUAGGGCGGGACACGUGGUAUCCUGUCUGAAUAUGGGGGGACCAUCCUCCAAGGCUAAAUACUCCUGACUGACCGAUAGUGAACCAGUACCGUGAGGGAAAGGCGAAAAGAACCCCGGCGAGGGGAGUGAAAAAGAACCUGAAACCGUGUACGUACAAGCAGUGGGAGCACGCUUAGGCGUGUGACUGCGUACCUUUUGUAUAAUGGGUCAGCGACUUAUAUUCUGUAGCAAGGUUAACCGAAUAGGGGAGCCGAAGGGAAACCGAGUCUUAACUGGGCGUUAAGUUGCAGGGUAUAGACCCGAAACCCGGUGAUCUAGCCAUGGGCAGGUUGAAGGUUGGGUAACACUAACUGGAGGACCGAACCGACUAAUGUUGAAAAAUUAGCGGAUGACUUGUGGCUGGGGGUGAAAGGCCAAUCAAACCGGGAGAUAGCUGGUUCUCCCCGAAAGCUAUUUAGGUAGCGCCUCGUGAAUUCAUCUCCGGGGGUAGAGCACUGUUUCGGCAAGGGGGUCAUCCCGACUUACCAACCCGAUGCAAACUGCGAAUACCGGAGAAUGUUAUCACGGGAGACACACGGCGGGUGCUAACGUCCGUCGUGAAGAGGGAAACAACCCAGACCGCCAGCUAAGGUCCCAAAGUCAUGGUUAAGUGGGAAACGAUGUGGGAAGGCCCAGACAGCCAGGAUGUUGGCUUAGAAGCAGCCAUCAUUUAAAGAAAGCGUAAUAGCUCACUGGUCGAGUCGGCCUGCGCGGAAGAUGUAACGGGGCUAAACCAUGCACCGAAGCUGCGGCAGCGACACUAUGUGUUGUUGGGUAGGGGAGCGUUCUGUAAGCCUGUGAAGGUGUGCUGUGAGGCAUGCUGGAGGUAUCAGAAGUGCGAAUGCUGACAUAAGUAACGAUAAAGCGGGUGAAAAGCCCGCUCGCCGGAAGACCAAGGGUUCCUGUCCAACGUUAAUCGGGGCAGGGUGAGUCGACCCCUAAGGCGAGGCCGAAAGGCGUAGUCGAUGGGAAACAGGUUAAUAUUCCUGUACUUGGUGUUACUGCGAAGGGGGGACGGAGAAGGCUAUGUUGGCCGGGCGACGGUUGUCCCGGUUUAAGCGUGUAGGCUGGUUUUCCAGGCAAAUCCGGAAAAUCAAGGCUGAGGCGUGAUGACGAGGCACUACGGUGCUGAAGCAACAAAUGCCCUGCUUCCAGGAAAAGCCUCUAAGCAUCAGGUAACAUCAAAUCGUACCCCAAACCGACACAGGUGGUCAGGUAGAGAAUACCAAGGCGCUUGAGAGAACUCGGGUGAAGGAACUAGGCAAAAUGGUGCCGUAACUUCGGGAGAAGGCACGCUGAUAUGUAGGUGAGGUCCCUCGCGGAUGGAGCUGAAAUCAGUCGAAGAUACCAGCUGGCUGCAACUGUUUAUUAAAAACACAGCACUGUGCAAACACGAAAGUGGACGUAUACGGUGUGACGCCUGCCCGGUGCCGGAAGGUUAAUUGAUGGGGUUAGCGCAAGCGAAGCUCUUGAUCGAAGCCCCGGUAAACGGCGGCCGUAACUAUAACGGUCCUAAGGUAGCGAAAUUCCUUGUCGGGUAAGUUCCGACCUGCACGAAUGGCGUAAUGAUGGCCAGGCUGUCUCCACCCGAGACUCAGUGAAAUUGAACUCGCUGUGAAGAUGCAGUGUACCCGCGGCAAGACGGAAAGACCCCGUGAACCUUUACUAUAGCUUGACACUGAACAUUGAGCCUUGAUGUGUAGGAUAGGUGGGAGGCUUAGAAGUGUGGACGCCAGUCUGCAUGGAGCCGACCUUGAAAUACCACCCUUUAAUGUUUGAUGUUCUAACGUUGACCCGUAAUCCGGGUUGCGGACAGUGUCUGGUGGGUAGUUUGACUGGGGCGGUCUCCUCCUAAAGAGUAACGGAGGAGCACGAAGGUUGGCUAAUCCUGGUCGGACAUCAGGAGGUUAGUGCAAUGGCAUAAGCCAGCUUGACUGCGAGCGUGACGGCGCGAGCAGGUGCGAAAGCAGGUCAUAGUGAUCCGGUGGUUCUGAAUGGAAGGGCCAUCGCUCAACGGAUAAAAGGUACUCCGGGGAUAACAGGCUGAUACCGCCCAAGAGUUCAUAUCGACGGCGGUGUUUGGCACCUCGAUGUCGGCUCAUCACAUCCUGGGGCUGAAGUAGGUCCCAAGGGUAUGGCUGUUCGCCAUUUAAAGUGGUACGCGAGCUGGGUUUAGAACGUCGUGAGACAGUUCGGUCCCUAUCUGCCGUGGGCGCUGGAGAACUGAGGGGGGCUGCUCCUAGUACGAGAGGACCGGAGUGGACGCAUCACUGGUGUUCGGGUUGUCAUGCCAAUGGCACUGCCCGGUAGCUAAAUGCGGAAGAGAUAAGUGCUGAAAGCAUCUAAGCACGAAACUUGCCCCGAGAUGAGUUCU
rnacentral:rRNA from 1 species